rnacentral:lncRNA from 1 species
CAAUGCUAAUCCUCCCAGCUGUGUUAUAGGUUGAAGCUAAGCUAACGAAGGCUAUGCUAAUCCUCCAAACUGUGUUAUAGGUUGAAGCUAAGCUAACGGACGCUAUGCUAAUCCUCCCAGCUGUGAUACUAAUGACUAGCGGAUUAGCGAGAUAAGGGUGUGUGUGUGUGUGUGUGUAGUGUGUGUGUGUAUUGUGUGUGUGUAGUGCGUGUGUAAUGUGUAGUGUGUGUGUGUGUGUGUGUGUGUGUGUGUAGUGUGUAGUGUUUGUCUCAGCUUUCCCACAGACCAACAGCUGGGAGUUGACCUGUAGCGAGGUUGUCAAGAUGAUGACGGAGGCUUCCCAACAUUCCAGAGAGGCGGGAAGUAAACCAUGUGCUCCUGUCAAUCAUCGAGUCAGGAAGUUAAAAAGAAGGAAAAAAAAACACACAGGAGUUUCUCAGGGAAGUUUUAUUGGGCUUUAUAAGUUGAAAUACAAAAUGCCACAUUAUGAAAAGAAAAACAGUUUCAUUAAAAUUUGCCAAGAAACAGAGUUACAUAGAAAAAAAAACAAAGCAAGGCACCGCCACAACCCAAUCGGAUUCCCCCUUUGUGCUCACGGGCCAAUAGCAGCGCGCAGCCACGAUAUUAGACUACUCAAGAGGUUCAAGACAGGCGAGUGUUUUCAUCAGUAAAGAGUUCGUGCUCCUCGUCAUCAAGAAAGACGUGUAUUACGUCACAGAAACACGUGGUCCAGAUCAUCACGUUUUUUUAAAUCUCAACCUCUGUAUCGCAACCAGUUCUAAACUAUGGUUCUAACCAGUUCUAAACUAUGGUUCCGUGGUUCUAGCCAGUUCUAACCAGUUCUAAACUAUGGUUCCAUGGUUCUAGCCAGUUCUAACCAGUUCUAAACUCUGGUUCUAGCCAGUUCUAACCAGUUCUAAACUCUGGUUCCAUAGUUUUAGCCAGUUCUAAAUUCUGGUUCCAUGGUUCUAGCCAGUUCUAACCAGUUCUAAACUAUGGUUCCAUGGUUCUAGCCAGUUCUAACCAGUUCUCAACUAUGGUUCCAUGGUUCUAGCCAGUUCUAACCAGUUCUAAACUAUGGUUCUAGCCAGUUCUAAAUUCUGGUUCCAUGGUUCUAGCCAGUUCUAACCAGUUCUAAACUAUGGUUCCAUGGUUCUAGCCAGUUCUAACCAGUUCUCAACUAUGGUUCCAUGGUUCUAGCCAGUUCUAACCAGUUCUCAACUAUGGUUCCAUGGUUCUAACUAGUUCUAAACUCUGGUUCUAUGGUUCUAGCCAGUUAUAAACUCUGGUUCCAUGGUUCUAGCCAGUUGGAACCAGUUCUCAACUAUGGUUCCAUGGUUCUAGCCAGUUAUUAUUAUAAUCAUUAUAGCCAGUCAGUGUGACUCAGUUAGACGGUGUUGGACUCUCCAGUUUAGUAGCAGCCAGAGGAAGAGAUGGUUUAGAAACAUUAUGGCUCUGUCCCAAAUGGCGCCCUUUUCCCCUGUAAUCCACAAAUUCAACUCUGGCCCUGGAAGACAGUUCCGCUGUUUUUAUUCAUUCUUCCCCUCUAAAUCAGGGCCUGAUUUAGACCUGGGACAACAAGUGGGUGAUAUCCCCUCUAAAUCAGGGCCUGAUUUAGACCUGGGACAACACGUUGGUGAUAUCCCCUCUAAAUCAGGGCCUGAUUUAGACCUGGGACAACACGUGGGUGAUAUUCCCCUCUAAAUCAGGGCCUGAUUUAGACCUGGGACAACACGUGGGUGAUUCCCCUCUAAAUCAGGGCCUGAUUUAGACCUGGGACAACAGGUGGGUGUAAAUAAUGAUCAGCCAGAACAGAGAACCAAUGGGCUCUUGACCUCAUAGGGAUCCAAUCUGAAUACCCGUACCCUAUACAGUGCACUACUUUUGCCCUCGCUGGUGAAAUGGGCCGUCCCUGGUCUAAAGGUCAUAAUGCCCUGUACAGGGGCUAGGGAUUAUGGUGCUAUUUGGGAUACAGACUUUGUCUCUGAGAGUUCAGACAGGUGAGAAACGUCCUGUCUCUGACAUGGUUAAAGAGUUCAGACAGAUGAGAAACGUCCUGUCUCUGACAUGGUUAAAGAGUUCAGACAGGUGAGAAAUUUCCAGUUAGGGGGUUUCCAGUAUUAGCCCCAUAUAGCCCCUAUAUUUAGCCCCAUAUAGCCCCUAUAUUUAGCCCCAUAUAGCCCCUAUAUUUAGCCCCAUAUAGACCCUAUAUUUAGCCCCAUAUAGCCCCUAUAUUUAGCCCCAUAUAGCCCCUAUAUUUAGCCCUAUAUAGCCGCUAUAUUUAGCCCCAUAUAGCCUCUAUAUUUAGCCCCAUAUAGCCCCUAUAUUUAGCCCCUUAUAGCCCCUAUAUUUAGCCUCAUAUAGCCCCUAUAUUUAGCCCCAUAUAGCCCCUAUAUUUAGCCCCAUAUAGCCCCUAUAUUUAGCCCCAUAUAGCCCCUAUAUUUAGCCCCAUAUUAACUGUAAAGUGUAUAACUUUAAAGUGUAUAACUGUAAACUGUAUAACUGUAAAAUGUAGUAUAACUGUAAACUGUAUAACUGUAAAGUGUAUAACUGUAAAGUGUGAGUGUUAACUGUAAAGUGUGAGUGUUAACUGUAAAGUGUAUAACUGUAAAGUGUAUAACUGUAAACUGUAUAACUGUAAAGUGUAGUAUAACUGUAAAGUGUAUAACUGUAAAGUGUGAGUGUUAACUGUAAAGUGUAUAACUGUAAAGUGUGAGUGUUAACUGUAAAGUGUAUAACUGUAAACUGUAUAACUGUAAAGUGUGAGUGUUUUCAUUUUUUAAAUAGAAUUUUACAAUGACAACACACGUAAACAAAGACCCCAAACAGACCCCUAACGUUACCAAACACCAAUGACAUCACUUCCGCUCAGACCCACAUGUUCCCACUGCUACUAUACACGUCCCAUAUGUCUCCCUCCCUCCCUCCCCACCCACCCAC